UGAAGCAGUGGUCUUAUGGUAGAAUACAAGGCUUCCUAGAUAGCAAAAUGCAAGUAGUCGUGAUGGAUGUAUGAAACAGAGGCUGUCAAAUGGAAGGAAUAUGGUUAAGAAAUUAGAAUGUUCAAAAACUACAAGAUACUUGGGGGGCAUGUUUUGGGAGUGGCUAUCCUUGAUAAUGGGUGUCAUUGUAUUGGGGCUAUGAUGGUAGGCUAUCAUCUAGUCAUGCUGAUAAAAAUAUUCAAGAAUUGCUUCAGAAGUUUGUGUGAAGGAUUUUUAGUUUAUCAAGAUCAAUAUCAGGGACAACUUUCAUAUUUUUACUCAUCACAACUCAAUAUGCAUUGGUUGGAGAAAACUAUGGAGGAAACUUGCAUAUGUCAUUGAAGGAUUAAUGCUACACUUAUUGUGUGAUUCUCUGCUUGAUUAACCUCGUUCCAAUGUCCAAGCAGUGCACUGUGCAAUUCAUGAGGGAUAAUUACCUUUAAACCACAAAGCAAAAUUUGGAGAGUGAAAACCAUAAAUUGGAGGCCUGUAUGAAAGUGUUCUGCUUGCGAGCCUAUGAGCCAGACAAGACAGUUCAAGCAUUGAGUUCGUUUUCGAAACAAGCUAUAUUAGGCCCAAGCUUCAGCUUCAUUAACUUCAUAACUGGGCCUAAUCCAAGCAUAACAGUUCCUGAGACAGAGAUGGGACCUCCCUGAUAAGAUUCUUACACCCUCUUGGAAACAUUUACAAGUUCUGUUGGUGUUGAAGUGCAUGGCAGUUAAGUUAUUGGAAAUACUUGAUUGUAGUAACUUGUGAAUUGCCGCUGCCUCUCCUGCUUCAAAUCUGCACCUUGUGUUGAAGUUCGAAAAUCUGUGUAUUUAAUACAUGAAAGUCCUGUCUGAAAUUGUGAGCUCUGGUUCCAUUUAGUUUUGUUGGGUUUAAUAUUUUGUAUAGUA